rnacentral:rRNA from 1 species
UACGGAGGGUGCAAGCGUUAAUCGGAAUUACUGGGCGUAAAGCGCACGCAGGCGGUUUUUUAAGUCUGAUGUGAAAUCCCCCGGCUCAACCUGGGAACUGCAUUUGAAACUGGCAAACUAGAGUCCAGUAGAGGGGGGUAGAAUUCCAGGUGUAGCGGUGAAAUGCGUAGAGAUCUGGAGGAAUACCGGUGGCGAAGGCGGCCCCCUGGACGAAGACUGACGCUCAGGUGCGAAAGCGUGGGGAGCAAACAGG